GAUGAACGCUGGCGGCGUGCCUAAUACAUGCAAGUCGAGCGAACAGACGAGGAGCUUGCUCCUCUGACGUUAGCGGCGGACGGGUGAGUAACACGUGGAUAACCUACCUAUAAGACUGGGAUAACUUCGGGAAACCGGAGCUAAUACCGGAUAAUAUAUUGAACCGCAUGGUUCAAUAGUGAAAGACGGUUUUGCUGUCACUUAUAGAUGGAUCCGCGCCGCAUUAGCUAGUUGGUAAGGUAGCGGCUUACCAAGGCAACGAUGCGUAGCCGACCUGAGAUGGUGAUCGGCCACACUGGAACUGAGACACGGUCCAGACUCCUACGGGAGGCAGCAGUAAGGAAUCUUACGCAAUGGGCGAAAGCCUGACGGAGCAACGCCGCGUGAGUGAUGAAGGUCUUCGGAUCGUAAAACUCUGUUAUUAGGGAAGAACAAAUGUGUAAGUAACUAUGCACGUCUUGACGGUACCUAAUCAGAAAGCCACGGCUAACUACGUG
rnacentral:rRNA from 1 species